AAGUCGUAACAAGGUUUCCGUAGGUGAACCUGCGGAAGGAUCAUUAUUGAAUUUAAUGUAGAGUUGGUUGUAGCUGGCUCCCUUGGAUUAAUUUCUUUGGGGGCAUGUGCACACCUUCUCUUUCAUCCACACACACCUGUGAACCUGUGAGAUAGUAGUUUGGGGACUUUAAUGGACCCACUUCUGUCUACUUAAUUCAUAUAAAAUCAAUUUAAUUUAAAACGAAUGUAAUGGAUGUAACGCAUCUAAUACUAAGUUUCAACAACGGAUCUCUUGGCUCUC
rnacentral:misc_RNA from 1 species